UGGGGAAUCUUGCGCAAUGGGGGAAACCCUGACGCAGCGACGCCGCGUGCGGGAUGAAGGCCUUCGGGUUGUAAACCGCUUUCAGCAGGGACGAGGCCUUAUGGUGACGGUAACUGCAGAAGAAGCUCCGGCUAAAUACGUGCCAGCAGCCGCGGUAAUACGUAUGGAGCAAGCGUUAUCCGGAUUCAUUGGGCGUAAAGCGCUCGUAGGCGGGCUGUUAGGUCGGCAAGUUAAAUCCGGGGGCUCAACCCCCGUCCGCUUCCGAUACCGGCAGACUUGAGUUUGGUAGGGGAAGGUGGAAUUCCUAGUGUAGCGGUGGAAUGCGCAGGUAUUAGGAAGAACACCGAUGGCGAAGGCGGCCUUCUGGGCCAUAACUGACGCUUAGGGGCGAAAGCUAGGGGAGCGAACAGG
rnacentral:rRNA from 1 species